rnacentral:rRNA from 1 species
UACGUAGGGUGCGAGCGUUAAUCGGAAUUACUGGGCGUAAAGCGUGCGCAGGCGGUUCUCCAAGUCCGUUGUGAAAGCCCCGGGCUCAACCUGGGAAUGGCAGUGGAAACUCGGGGACUGGAAUCUGGCAGAGGGGGGUGGAAUGCCGCGUGUAGCAGUGAAAUGCGUAGAGAUGCGGCGGAACACCGAUGGCGAAGGCAGCCCCCUGGGCUGAGAUUGACGCUCAGGCACGAAAGCGUGGGGAGCAAACAGG